rnacentral:lncRNA from 1 species
UCUCCUUCUACCUCAGGGCCACCUCGCUGUGUUCUCUCCCUGUCGCAGCGUUGACCCACACAGGCACCUCUCAGUUCAGGCGCACCAUUACGCGCGCACGUGACAGGCUGCCAAAGGUGCGUGAGGUGAUGCUCAGGGAAAAACACUUGAAUAGAACAGGUCCCCGUUCUCCUGCAUGGUGGCACACACUUGUAAUCCCAGCACUCGGGAAGGGAGAGGCAGGAGGACAGCUGCAAGUAUGAGGCCAAUCUGUCCUAUAUAGUGAGUUCCAGAACAAGUCAGGGCUACAAUAGCAAGACUGUAUCAAAAUACCCCCUCCCUCAAAAGAAGAAAGCAUGAUGGCAUCUAGGUAGGUGUGGAUCAUGUCCGAAAUAACUUUGACGACUGAGGCAGGAGGAUCACCAUGAGUUAGUUCCAGGUCAUCUUGGGAGUGAGAUGCUAUUUAAAAACGAACAAAACCGAAAACAGCCCACCACUUCUGCCUGGGUCUUAUUCGUUGUCAAUUAUAUUUUAAUGUCUGAGAUGAGGGACAGACACAGGAACUCUGAGAAUUCCAGUUUUUAUUAUACAAUCAAAACUGAGGACUACUAUAUUAGAACUCAGGAAACUGCAGGCAGGCAGAGGCAAGGAGGAGGUUCCUGAAAAAUCUGGGCAUGUGAUGGACUGGACCAGAAACCAGGGCAGUACUGCCGGUGGUGAUGUGCACUUGAGGAAACAUGACUUCAUUAUGUCUCAGAGAUGGAAUUUAAGAUAAAGAGAAUUGGUGUUUUGCGGUAUGUAUGACUCUACACCAGGAGCAUGGAGUGCCCAUGGAGUUCAGUAGAAAGUGUUGGAUCUCCUGAAACUGGACUUACAGACAGUUGUGAGCUGCCAUGUUCCAAAUGUAUGCCCUGGAUGCCUGUGCUCUUCUGUGGUGGCUCCUAGAAUUCUCUCACAAUGCAUAUUUUUGCUUGGUGUGACCCUUCAAAUUUUUGGCAAGCUAGGCCUGUUGCUCAGGCUUCUCUUCAUAGCACUUGGGAGAUGGUGGCAGGAAGAUAAGAGUUCAAGGUCAUCCAUGGAUACACAGCAGUUUUGAGGCCAGCCUUGGCUACAUGAGCUCAUCUCAAACAAACAAUUGUGAUUUCAAUGAGAAUGGCUUCCAUAGGCUCAUAUAUUUUAACACUUGCUCCCCAGCUGGUAGAACUGUGCAGGAAGAAUUAGUAGGUAUGGCCUAAGUGGAAGUGGCAUUUCAUUGGAG